rnacentral:lncRNA from 1 species
AUGCUCCUCCUCCACCUAGCGUGCCAUGCUCCCUUCCUCCACCGAGCGUGCCAUGCUCCCUUCCUCCACCUAGCGUGCCAUGCUCCCUUCCUCCACUCUCCAUCUAGCGUGCCAUGUUCCCUUCCUCCCACUCUCCAUCUAGCGUGCCAUGCUCCCUUCCCCCACUCUCCAUCUAGCGUGCCAUGCUCCCUUCCUCCACUCUCCAUCUGCGGUGCCAUGCUCCUUUCCUCCACAUCUAGCGUGCCAUGCUCCCUUCCUCCCCUAUGCGUCGCCACUUCCCCUUCCUCACUCCUAGCGUGCCAUGCUCCCUUUCCUCCACCUAGCGUGCCCAUGCUCCCUUCCUCCACCUAGCGUUGCCAUGCUCCCUUCCCUCCACCUACGCGCCUGCCAUGGGACUCCCUUCCUCCCUCCACCUAGCGUCCCAUGCUCCCUUCCUCCACUCUCCAUCUAGCUGGGCCCCAGCUCCCUUCCUCCACUCUCCAUCUAGGUGCCAUGCUCCCUUCCUCCAUAUCCAUCUAGCG